AGUGAACGCUGGCGGUAGGCCUAACACAUGCAAGUCGAACGGCAGCACAGUAAGAGCUUGCUCUUACGGGUGGCGAGUGGCGGACGGGUGAGGAACACAUCGGAAUCUACUUUUUCGUGGGGGAUAACGUAGGGAAACUUACGCUAAUACCGCAUACGACCUACGGGUGAAAGCAGGGGAUCUUCGGACCUUGCACGAUUGAAUGAGCCGAUGUCGGAUUAGCUAGUUGGCGGGGUAAAGGCCCACCAAGGCGACGAUCCGUAGCUGGUCUGAGAGGAUGAUCAGCCACACUGGAACUGAGACACGGUCCAGACUCCUACGGGAGGCAGCAGUGGGGAAUAUUGGACAAUGGGCGCAAGCCUGAUCCAGCCAUACCGCGUGGGUGAAGAAGGCCUUCGGGUUGUAAAGCCCUUUUGUUGGGAAAGAAAAGCAGCAGGUUAAUACCCCGCUGUUCUGACGGUACCCAAAGAAUAAGCACCGGCUAACUUCGUG
rnacentral:rRNA from 1 species